rnacentral:rRNA from 1 species
CCUACGGGGCGCAGCAGUAGGGAAUCUUCCACAAUGGACGAAAGUCUGAUGGAGCAACGCCGCGUGAGUGAAGAAGGGUUUCGGCUCGUAAAGCUCUGUUGGUAGUGAAGAAAGAUAGAGGUAGUAACUGGCCUUUAUUUGACGGUAAUUACUUAGAAAGUCACGGCUAACUACGUGCCAGCAGCCGCGGUAAUACGUAGGUGGCAAGCGUUGUCCGGAUUUAUUGGGCGUAAAGCGAGUGCAGGCGGGUCAAAAAAGUUGAUGUGAAAACCUUCGGCUCAACCGGAGAAUUGCCUCAGAAACUG